GUCUGUGGCCACGCCGCCCUAAACGUACCUGAUCCCGUCUGAUCUCAGAAGCUAAGCAGGGCCGGGCCUGGUUAGUACUUGGAUGGGAGACCACCUAGGACGAUCAGGUGCUGUCGGCA
rnacentral:rRNA from 1 species